rnacentral:rRNA from 1 species
GACGAACGCUGGCGGCGUGCUUAACACAUGCAGGUCGAACGGAAAGGCCCUGCUUUUGUGGGGUGCUCGAGUGGCGAACGGGUGAGUAACACGUGAGUAACCUGCCCUUGACUUUGGGAUAACUUCAGGAAACUGGGGCUAAUACCGGAUAGGAGCUCCUGCUGCAUGGUGGGGGUUGGAAAGUUUCGGCGGUUGGGGAUGGACUCGCGGCUUAUCAGCUUGUUGGUGGGGUAGUGGCUUACCAAGGCUUUGACGGGUAGCCGGCCUGAGAGGGUGACCGGCCACAUUGGGACUGAGAUACGGCCCAGACUCCUACGGGAGGCAGCAGUGGGGAAUAUUGCACAAUGGGCGGAAGCCUGAUGCAGCAACGCCGCGUGCGGGAUGACGGCCUUCGGGUUGUAAACCGCUUUCGCCUGUGACGAAGCGUGAGUGGCGGUAAUGGGUAAAGAAGCACCGGCUAACUACGUG